AACACUGCCAGGCAGAAAAACUAAGCCAUCUAGGUUUUCAAGAGUUUCACUUCUUUAUAUGGCUGGACCUCUUGCUUCCCCCACCUAACUGAGCCAAUUAUGAUGUCUCAUGGAUUCCUAAGGUCUAAUAAAGCAGAAUUUUGCUUUAGUGCUUCUCUUGUGCCAACCUCCAGCUCCUUCCCCGUUGCACAGCACCACCUCACACACCCCAGGUGAGGUAUUUCUACCUCUUAUUCUGGUUUGUGCAAGGAAGGGAGCAGUGUGGUAGCCCACAAAAGACUGGCUCCCCAGUCAUCAAAACAUUACAGCAUUUGUACAUUUUAACAAACAAAACAUCAGCAUUCAUUGCUUACAGAUUAUGUGACAUCCAUUAAUUAGCACUCAGCCCCCUGUUUGCUAUGCUAAUUAGUCUGCAGGUGCAGUUCUUCCCUCUGCCUGACUCCAGGGUCUGUUUGGAGCAGGUGAUCACUGAGUUGGUGUCCACUGCUGGAUUUCCCUCCUCUCCAGUUACUGACAGUUCUGACCUUACUCCUGGUGGCUCUCAUCCAGGCAGCCCAUCUCAUUCAUCUUGGGAUUGUCUUCCCUUUUCCCUAAAACAAACACUAGCCAAGCAUAUAAUGUUAACAGUGCAAUUGCUUAAUCAUAACUGUCUAGCUGCAUCUGCUGGUUGACAGCAACAAAAAAAAUUGUGAAGUUUGAUUCAGAUCUUGAUACUCUCAAAUCUUGAGGGGUUCCAUAUCACUUUCAGUCUUUCAUAGGUCCUCUCUACUUUACUCUCUACUCAAGUCAUGCAACAUUGCUUCCUCCCUGCAUGUUUCUUUGUACUUGAUAAGGGGAAUAAAGUAUUAAGAUGGACUGACAGUGACACACAGAGACAUUAUAAGCCUGUAAAUCCUAUUUCUAGAGGAAAUAAGUCAAGAACUCUUUACAUCUAGUUGCAGGCUGUUAACCUUAUCUGCACUAGUAAACUAAAAAAGUUUCCUUGUCCGAGCUUUUUUUUUUUUUUUUUUUUUAACAAGACAUCUUCUGGCAUAUCCAUCAAAUGAAACAAAGCUUCAGCAGGAUUUCUCCCUUACUUAGGCUGUUCUCAGUGCCUGUGUUCUCAAAAUGUAGAUGGAGAAUGAGACUUGGGUCUCAGCAACUCUGGAACCAGCUGAGCUUUUGGAAGAUGGUCAAAGAUCACCAGUGCUCCUGACAGUAGAAAAAUAAAAAUAAAAACCAGUAGUUUUGUGUCCAUUUUAAUAAAUUUUGAAAGCUUUCAAUGAGGACAAGAAUUACUAAAACAAAUAAUCAAAAACUGUGGAGAAGAUGAGAUUUCUAUUCAGCCCGUAGUAAGAAAGGUUUUCUAUUCCUUGAAUGCCUGUAUUACUAGGACAGGCAUCUGCAUAUCCUCUUUUACUGAAGUAGGAGUCUUCCUUGCACACUCUAUUUUAAACUGCAGCAGACUCUACUGUGAAGUUAAUUAUCAACAUAGGCAGAACACCAAAACCACACAGUGUAAUAGGUACAACAGCAGAUCAAGAUUUUUUUUCCCCCCCCUCUGGUUUGUUUUUGAAGGGGUCUUUUUCUAUUAUUUUGCUUGUAAUAGCGAUUAAGCUCAGUCCCAAAAAUUCUACAAGGAAGAAUGAACUACAAAAAAAUCACAUCUCUUUUUUUUCAAGGAAAAUGGCACAAGGAAAUAGAUGAAGAGGCCGCACCUCAUCAUUUUCCUCUCAUCUUACAUGCUGGCUUCCUUAAAACACUCCAUGUUGUUGUUAUUUGGGCUUCUUAGGUUGUUCCAAGAGGAUGAAUUACAAUUGUUAGGAAGCUGUGAAUUUCCACCCUCAGCAUAUCGAAGAUCCCUCGUUCACAUUCCACCUUUGACUUCUAUUGAUCAGCUAUUCCUCAGAAUCCCAAGCAGAGUACCUAUAAAUUUGUCUCCCUCAUUUUGUUGUGUUAACAUGACUUGACUGAAAAGACACAUUCAUUCCUUCUGAAGCUCAUAAUUUCCCUUACUAGAUGAGAAGUUAAUCCUUUCCACCCAAGAACAGGUUUCACUGCCACUAUGGAUGUCAUCCUUCUCUGGGUAUUUCUGUCCAUUGUGUUACCCUAUUUUUAUCUGGUUCUGGGUCCCCUUCCUGAGUACUGAAUGCACCAAGAAAAAACUGUUUUUCAGCUUUUUCUCAACCCAUAGUGGUACCAAUCUUAGUUAUUGUUAACAGUUUAAAAGUUCCUUACCAGCUUGAAACUCUGUCUGGUGAAAAAAUGUAUCAAAGUCGGUUUUCCUAUAAGUAGGUGAAGUGUGACUCAACAGUAAUUAAGAAAGACAUUAAGAAAAGGAAAGAAAGAUAAACAUCCUGACAGUAUAAGUGUGGGUAUCUGGAGCUGCAAAGGAUGGCAGGUUGUGAGUAUGAUGCUUCAGGAUAUGCCACUUAGCCAAGUGCAGCAGGGCCUCGCUGUCAGCUUCUUGCUGCCUGCAAUACUUAACAUUCUAAGGUGAAAGAGGAGAUCUGUCAUGGAAGGAAGAGCUGAGAAUUGUGGAACACUGAUAUUCAAAAGGAAUGAAGCCAUUUCUGUGGGGGAAGACCCUAAAAACAAGAAGAAAUAAAUAAUCCCAUCAUCAAGCCAUGGCUCCUAGGAAGCAGUCCCUUCCUUCUGUGUGGAGAGAAUCUGUAGCAUUUCUUCAAAGACUACAUUGCAUAUGAACUUAAAAAAAAAAAAAAAGCAGACAAGAAAAAAAUCACAUUAAAUGGCCAAACAGUGCCAUCUGGGGACUACUCUCAUAAGAAUAGCAUGAGCAAAAGGCAAUAAAGUUAAUGAAGGACCUGCUUUUUCAUUCAGAAUGAGCAGAACUUUAUUCUGUGGGAAAUUUUGAUUAUUUGCACGGGGCCAGUCUUGGGGUCAGGCACUGAGUGGCACACAAUGCUCUGUUAACAGUCAGGACUGCUCCAGGGAAGGAACAGCAACACAUCUCUAAAUUCAAGAGCUGUGGUCAAGCAGCAGCUUUCUUGUAUGUUCUUGAUGGAAAGAAUUUUUAAAUUUGAAGCUUGUAGGAAACAGGAGACUACAUGGAAAUCAAGGAAAGGACAAUAUGAUGUAAAACCAAUGGAGAAAUGCUUUCAGAGCUUCUUGUUUUACAAUACUAUACAACAGAAGUUUAUUUCACAAAACCUCUGGGGCAAAGUGAUCCCCCCAUUUAAAGCAGUUCUAUUCAUACGAGUGUCUGAGAUUUUGCUUAAGAACUGCAGUAAAAUCACAGAAUCGUUUUAUCAGAACGGUUUGGGUUAAAAGAGACAAGAAAGGGCUCCAGUCCCCCUGCCAUGGGAUACAGUGAGCACUACCAUGUAGCUGUUUGUACAAGCAGUGGGAAUAUACUGCUUUCCAGGCUGGUGCAGAUGACACAAAUGGAAUCAGAGAUCGCUUGUAAGGACAGCUGUGUCAUUUCAGAAGUGGCAUGAGGGAAAGGAGAGUGCAAGAACAAAGCACCUGCUGCUGCCUUCAGGCAGGCAGAUUCAGUCUGGGCUCCUGCAGGAAUGCAAGAGUGAUGGUUGCCUAGAAAAUGCAGGCUUUUCAGCAGAAUAUAGAAAACCCAGAGAUGGACCAAAUCUGCUGAUUUGGGUGUUACGCAAACAAAAACAAAGAGCAGCUGCUUUUAAUCCCAAGCUGCAUAUACAAAAAAGAGAAGUAGAAAAGUAGCAAGGGCAAUAAUUUUUUGCAUUUCUUUCAGAGCCUUAGAUUUCCUUGAAGGAUUAUGAGUAUUAUGUUAAAACCUUCAGUUUAAGCUGGAUCAAAGAGGAAGGAGGCACCGAGGCACCAGAGAAUGUGGUCUUCAGUAAGGAGCUAUGGAAGUAAUUGAAAUCUGCCUUCUCUUGAGCCAACCCCUGGAACUGAGUUCUUAUUCAGAGACCAGCGCCUGGGAAAUCUGCUAAAACAACAGCACACGAUCUGCAUCCUCAUGAAACUGCCUGACAUUUAGGGUCACCCCCAUGUUGAUGUUAAGCCUGCUGAGACUGCAGUGAGAACAGUAGGCACAGCCUCUCUCCUUCUUAUAUAUGCAAGGGAAGCAGAACAAGUCAUCCAGCCACUAGGAUGGAGUGACCCCCACUUUUCCACCUUCCUGCUCAGUCUGAACAAACAUAAGUGAUAUUUUGAUCUCUCUGUUGUGGCUACACUCACUACAGUGUGUGAAGAUACCAUGAACCUUACUGGGGGCAGAUUUGCCUCGGAACAGGCACUGAACAACCUGCUCUUGAGGAAAAUCAUAAUCAGAUGAAUAGAAAUCAAGGCACAGUAAAUGAAUUCCCUCCAGCUUGCGGCAGUUUCAGGGCAGGAUAGGCAGUUCCAUGGCACACAUAUCAUACCAGCACUCAGUAACUCCUCUCAGCUUCAUCCAGAGUCUCCAGAGGUCCUUGGGGAAGUUUCUCUCAGCAUCCUCUCUAAGGCACAGCUGUGGGUAUGUUCACAGGGGCUCUCCAGCCCUUGCUUGGGCCCUCUUGCACUCUCCACUGAUCCUCCUUCUUGCACCAGCUCCCUGGAGAGUUUGACAGCCCUCCCCUCCAGCACAGUGAUGCUGCAUCCUCUGUUUUCACAAAUGAGGGUUGUUUAAAAAGUGUGUUACCAUGGACGUAGGAGAUGCUAUACAGCAGCUGGCAAAAGAUGCUUUUUGCUGGUAGAACUUUUUUGCAGGUAUACCAGGGGAGCUAGAGUAACAAGAAAGUUUUAGACUGUUCCCAGUAUGCAGUCUCAAAAAAAAUCAUUCUUUGUUUUAUUCAUUUCUUCAGAUACAAAAGAAAUAUUUAUUCAGCUCCUUAAGGAAUUGAACUAUUGACCUUUCUGAAUGUCAGAAAGCCUAGAAGUAGGGCAGAGAAAGAAUGAUUAUCAUAUUGUUGAAACAAAAGAACUCCCAUAUCUACUAACUAUUAGACCUGACAUUGCCUGUGAAAAAGGAGGAGGACAGGAUGCUGUUGUUAGAGCAGGAUCUGUUGGGGGUUGGUUGCACAGAUAAUCCAGGGUGGUAGAGAUUUUUCUCAUGUUUUGGAGGGCACUUGACUUGUUUCAGGUGGCACACACAAAUAAGUCACAUACUUAACAAUAGUUGUUUGCAAGAUGCAGGAAGCAGCUUUGGGGGGUUUCUCCUCUGGAGAGCCCUCAGAAAUAUGUUUUUGGUAGAGGUGCCAUUUUCAUUUUGACAGUAACCCACAUACUGCAAGUGUCCUCCAGGACUGAACCAGAGCCAUUUUUGGGAGUCAUCUCAACUGCAGUGACAAGGCAGACAUUUCCUUUCACAGGCCAAGAGCUAAUCAUCAUUUAUUUAUCAAUGGCUUGUGUUUGUUCAACACUGUAUGGCUGGUAGCCAGAUAACAUUAAUAAAAGUGAGUUCACCUUG